ensembl:misc_RNA
CUGAGAAGAAACCCCCACUCUUCUGCUGUGUGGUCAAUCACAGAAGAUCUGGUAGACACUAAAACAGUUUUCAAAGAUAUCCUUCACACUGGGC